UGUGUGUGUGUAUGUGUGUGUGUGUGUGUGUAUAUAUAUAUAUAUACACACACACACACAUACACACACGUAUU